GGGGAUUUUCUCUAUGGAUUUCCAGUGGUUCCUUGUGGCCAUGCUGCUCCCUGUGGGCUGGGCCCUUCAGCAAUCCCCAGAUACAGUCGUCCGAGUGGGAGACACCGUGACUCUGGAAUGUUCUGGAUUGGGGAAUGUUGUCAAGACCAUGUACUGGUAUAAGUUACCUGUGGAGAAGGAUGCCAGUAUGCAGUUGGUUGUAUAUUCAGUGGAAGGUGGCAAAGCAGAUAUUGAGAAGGAAUUCAAAAAUCGCUUCCAGAGUAAUGGGACUAGGAACAACCAUUUAUCUGUGAAGAUAGAGCAUGCCCUGCUCAAUGACACAGGCACAUAUUUCUGUGCUGAACAAGAUCCACAGAGACUCAAAGGCAGGUGCAGCAUAG